GCACUCACCGUGGGGAAGGGCGGCGAGGGCUGAUGCGAAGAGCAAUCUAAAAUUGUGAGGAACUGCAAGUGGUCUGUGUCCAUCCUUUGCUGAAGUGCCAGAGCCAGCCAGAGACACUGUGCUGCGUGAGACAGCUGGGAUAUACAAAUCGUCAAGCCCUUUAAACAAAGCACACCCAUGAGGAGCUUGGGCAAGACUUCACUGAAUAAGGAUAAUCAACACCUGCCACACAAAAGACCCAGCUACAUUUUCAAACGGUUGAACAGGUUUAUCAGUA